rnacentral:tRNA from 1 species
GGUUCGAUGGUGUAGUUGGUUAUCACGUCAGUCUAACAUUCUUAGUCCACUGAAGGUCUCCAGUUCAAGUCUGGGUCGAAUCA